rnacentral:tRNA from 1 species
GGCGGGAUAGCUCAGCCGGUUAGAGCGCAGGAUUCAUAAUCCUGAGGUCGAGAGUUCGAGUCUCUCUCCCGCUACUA